rnacentral:rRNA from 1 species
AUGAACAUUUUGAGUUGGAACUAUAGUGGAGGAUGGAAUUCUCGGACUACUCAUGAUCUUGUGAGCUUGGUACAGACUUAUUCCCCUAGUAUUGUUUUCUUGUGUGAAACUAGGAGGUCGAAGGAUGAAAUGAAAAGAUAUAGGCCUCGCCUAGGUUUAAGUAGCUUUGAUGCAGUUGAUAGUUUUAGUCUGAGUGGAGGUCUCGCUCUCUAUUGGCAUGAGUCCUUGAUUCUCGAUCUAAAAUCUAUGAACGAAAGACAUAUUGAUGCUUAUAUGAGUGGUGCAGCCGGUGAGCCCCCCUUGGAGGCUCACCUAUGUCUACGGCGAGCCCCAGAGGGAGGACCUGAAAGAAAUAUGCCCUAG